rnacentral:rRNA from 1 species
UAGGGAAUCUUCCGCAAUGGGCGAAAGCCUGACGGAGCAACGCCGCGUGAGUGAUGAAGGUCUUCGGAUCGUAAAACUCUGUUAUUAGGGAAGAACAAAUGUGUAAGUAACUAUGCACGUCUUGACGGUACCUAAUCAGAAAGCCACGGCUAACUACGUGCCAGCAGCCGCGGUAAUACGUAGGUGGCAAGCGUUAUCCGGAAUUAUUGGGCGUAAAGCGCGCGUAGGCGGGUUUGUAAGUCUGAUGUGAAAGCCCACGGCUCAACCGUGGAGGGUCAUUGGAAACUGGAGAACUUGAGUGCAGAAGAGGAAAGUGGAAUUCCAUGUGUAGCGGUGAAAUGCGCAGAGAUAUGGAGGAACACCAGUGGCGAAGGCGACUUUCUGGUCUGUAACUGACGCUGAUGUGCGAAAGCGUGGGGAUCAAACAGG